rnacentral:rRNA from 1 species
AGUGAACGCUGGCGGUAGGCCUAAUACAUGCAAGUCGAACGGCCGCACAGUAAGCGCUUGCCUUUACGGGUGGCGACUGACGGGUGGGUGAGGCAUACAUCGGAUUCUUCUUUUUCGUGGGGGAUAUCGUAGGGCCACUUCCGCUAAUACCGCAUAUGUUCUACGGCUGGAAGCAGGAGAUCUUCGGACCUUUCCCGUUUCUUUUAGCCGAUGUCGGAUUACGUAGUUUGCGGGGUAAAGUCCCACCAAGGCGACGCUCCGGUGCUGGGCUGACAGGAUGGACAGCCACACUGGAACUGAGGCACGGUCCAGACUCCUACGGGGAGCAACAGUGGGGAAUAUUGGAGAAUGGGCGCAAGCCUGAUCCAGCCAUACCGCGGGGGUGAAGAAGGCCUUCGGGUUGUAAAGCCCUUGUGUUGGGAAAGAAAAGCAGCAGGAUAAAACCCCGCUGUUCUGACGGUACCCAAAGAAUAAGCACCGGCUAACUUCGUU